UUCCAUGAUCUGGUGACUCUUCUCUUGUUUCCCCAGGUCACAUGACAACUCUCCUAAUGAGGUGGAUGGAGCUUCAUAUUAUUUACUGAAGAAAAAUGUCCUGCAACCCAAAUCUAUAACUUCAGUCUUCCCAUCUCCACCAGCAACAGCAACUGUCUUCUGAAGUAAAAACACAGCAAUGGGACCUGU